AUAUAAUAAAACUAUCAGAAAAGUAGUUUAUCUGUUGUUUUGAGAGAGCUUGUGGGUGCUGAAAACAAGUAGCAUAGGUAGAUGAAUGGGCUGAUGUUUCACGUGAAACUAAACAAUAGGUUUCAGGACUAGCACCCCUUACCGUGCAGGCCUCGAUUGUGUCGAGACAAAAAAGAUGACAGUGUUGUAAAGUUAUGUAAAUAAACUGUCAACUGAGGUGGUACCGUGUUAGUAAUAACGCCCUCACG
rnacentral:ncRNA from 2 species